UACGGAGGGGGCUAGCGUUGUUCGGAAUUACUGGGCGUAAAGCGCACGUAGGCGGCUUUGUAAGUUAGAGGUGAAAGCCCAGGGCUUAACCCUGGAAUUGCCUUUAAGACUGCAUCGCUAGAAUCGUGGAGAGGUGAGUGGAAUUCCGAGUGUAGAGGUGAAAUUCGUAGAUAUUCGGAAGAACACCAGUGGCGAAGGCGACUCACUGGACACGUAUUGACGCUGAGGUGCGAAAGCGUGGGAGCAAACAGG
rnacentral:rRNA from 1 species